rnacentral:rRNA from 1 species
UACGGAGGAUCCAAGCGUUAUCCGGAAUCAUUGGGUUUAAAGGGUCCGUAGGCGGGCCUGUAAGUCAGUGGUGAAAGCCCAUCGCUCAACGGUGGAACGGCCAUUGAUACUGCAAGACUUGAAUUACUAGGAAGUAACUAGAAUAUGUAGUGUAGCGGUGAAAUGCUUAGAUAUUACAUGGAAUACCAAUUGCGAAGGCAGGUUACUACUAGUGGAUUGACGCUGAUGGACGAAAGCGUGGGGAGCGAACAGG